rnacentral:rRNA from 1 species
GACGAACGCUGGCGGCGUGCCUAAUACAUGCAAGUCGAGCGAGUUCCUUCGGGGGCUAGCGGCGGACGGGUGAGUAACACGUAGGCAACCUGCCUGUAAGACUGGGAUAACAUAGGGAAACUUAUGCUAAUACCAGAUAGGGUUUUGGAUCGCAUGGUCCGAAACGGAAAGAUGGCGCAAGCUAUCACUUACAGAUGGGCCUGCGGCGCAUUAGCUAGUUGGUGGGGUAACGGCCUACCAAGGCGACGAUGCGUAGCCGACCUGAGAGGGUGACCGGCCACACUGGGACUGAGACACGGCCCAGACUCCUACGGGAGGCAGCAGUAGGGAAUUUUCCACAAUGGACGGAAGUCUGAUGGAGCAACGCCGCGUGAACGAUGAAGGCUCUCGGGUCGUAAAGUUCUGUUGUUAGGGACGAACAAGUGCCGUUCGAACAGGGCGGCACCUUGACGGUACCUAACGAGAAAGCCACGGCUAACUACGUGCCAGCAGCCGC